AUAACUGCAUUGUGGAAAGCUGUUGUGGUGUUGUCAAAUUUUCUGAAAACAAAACAAAAGACGAGUUUUCAAGAAAUUCUUCAUCCUUUCCGUCGAUGGAUUUCCUUAGUUCCUGUUAUAAUUGCAAAGACGAUCUUGGACAGGGCAAAGACAUUUACAUGUACAGGGGUGAGAAAGCCUUUUGUAGCCAUGAAUGCCGCUGCCAAGAAAUGUUUUCUGAAGGAAUGAAAAAUCCAGAGCUGGAUAGUUCUUUUUAGGACUUUUAUGUUAGAAGUGUGACUCAAAUAAGAGUCUAAUUGAAUUAUAUAUUUCUACUUUUUUUGGGACUUUUUUAGGGCUAGAUCAAGUGUACUAUAAAUAUAAGGCUCCUCUGUCAGUUUUAUUGAAGCAUCAUUGCUGUCCAAUUGUAAUUCUCUCCAUAUUAAUAAAAUUUGUCGUUCUUCUGCUUAA